rnacentral:tRNA from 1 species
GAGGGUAUAGCUCAGUGGUAGAGUGCAUGCUUAGCAUGCACAAGGUCCUGGAUUCAAUCCCCAGUAUCUCCA